rnacentral:tRNA from 1 species
GGGCGAGUGGCGGAACUGGUAUACGCGUUGGACUUAAAAUCCAAUUCCUAUUGUAUAGGAUUGAGGGUUCGAGUCCCUCCUCGCCCA